rnacentral:rRNA from 1 species
GAUGAACGCUAGCGGCAGGCUUAAUACAUGCAAGUCGAGGGGCAGCACAGUCCGCCGUAAGGCGGAUGGGUGGCGACCGGCAAACGGGUGCGGAACACGUACAGAACCUACCUUCGAGCGGGGGAUAGCCCAGAGAAAUUUGGAUUAAUACCCAUAGUAUAUUUGGAUGGCAUCAUUUGAAUAUUAAAGAUUUAUCACUUGAAGAUGGCUGUGCGUAUGAUUAGGUAGUUGGCGGGGUAACGGCCCACCAAGCCUACGAUCAUUAACUGGUGUGAGAGCACGACCAGUCACACGGGCACUGAGACACGGGCCCGACUCCUACGGGAGGCAGCAGUAAGGAAUAUUGGUCAAUGGACGCAAGUCUGAACCAGCCAUGCCGCGUGGAGGAUGAAGGUCCUCUGGAUUGUAAACUUCUUUUUANCUGGGACGAAAAAAAGGGAAUUCUUUCUCGUCUGACGGUACCAGAUGAAUAAGCACCGGCUAACUCCGUGCCAGCAGCCG